UUUGCUGAAAAUGCUCUUUAUUUCUGGAUAGCAAUCUGGUCUUAAUCACUCCCCCCCAUACAAAUGUAUAACAUAUUCUCUAUUAUACCAUGGGUGAUACACCCAGGGAAAUUUUCACAGAUGUCUCUGAGGGGACGUAUGGAGGACAGGAGGGGACACCCCAGACCCUGCAAACCUGACUGCUGUAAAUAGGUUCUGCCAUCCACUGCAUCAAUACAAAAGGAAUCCACAACCCGAACCAGAACUGGUUUAACAAGAAUCUCAGCUGUGGAACCAGAACUGAUUUAACAAGAAUCUCAGCUUUGUGAGGUCACACAUCUGCCAUUAUGACCAGGAGACUAAAAUGGAGAAUGAAGUACGAACGACAAUCAGAUGAAAUGGAGUGUUGGGGGAUAGAAGAAAAACAAUUGGUGUGCAAGAAAAUAACCCCCUGGAAAGCUAACAAUUCCACUGAGAAGCAAAAGGACUUUGAUUGCUGGAAACAUCAAGAGAUGACAUUGGUUUACAACAAAGCAGGCGUUAAAGGAAAGAGGAAGGCUUCAGCAAAACCUGGCCUCUUCCUGAGGGAAAAGUAAGCACAAUUAGGGGCUUUGAUGGAAUAAAAAGAAAAAAAAAUCUGUCGCUGUUUGUGGGAAGCAAGCAGAGAGUGAAACUGGUCUUGCGUCAA